UACGGGGGGAGCAAGCGUUGUUCGGAUUUACUGGGCGUAAAGGGCGCGUAGGCGGCCACCGCAAGUCGAUUGUGAAAUCUCCGGGCUUAACUCGGAAAGGUCAACCGAUACUGCGGGGCUAGAGUGCAGAAGGGGCAACUGGAAUUCUCGGUGUAGCGGUGAAAUGCGUAGAUAUACGGAGGAACACCAGCGGCGAAGGCGGGUAGCUGGGCCAAACACGUGACGCUGGAGGCGCGAAAGCUAGGGUAGCAAA
rnacentral:rRNA from 1 species